rnacentral:rRNA from 1 species
AUUGAACGCUGGCGGCAGGCCUAACACAUGCAAGUCGAACGAGUGGCGGACGGGUGUGUAAUGUCUGGGAAACUGCCUGAUGGAGGGGGUUAACUACUGGAAACGGUAGCUAAUACCGCCUACCAUCGGAUGUGCCCAGGUGGGAUUAGCUUGUUGGUGGGGUAACGGCUCACCAAGGCGACGAUCCCUAGCUGGUCUGAGAGGAUGACCAGCCACACUGGAACUGAUACACGGUCCAGACUCCAACGGGAGGCAGCAGUGGGGAAUAUGGCACAAUGGGAGGAAGCCUGAUGCAGCCAAGCCGCGUGGAUGGAGAAGGCAAUGGGGUUGGAAAGUACUUUCAGCGUUGAGGCGUUACCCGAAGAAGAAGCACCGGCUAACUCCGUGCCAGCAGCCGCGGUAAUAC